GACGAACGCUGGCGGCGUGCUUAACACAUGCAAGUCGAACGGAAAGGCCCUGCUUUUGUGGGGUGCUCGAGUGGCGAACGGGUGAGUAACACGUGAGUAACCUGCCCUUGACUUUGGGAUAACUUCAGGAAACUGGGGCUAAUACCGGAUAGGAGCUCCUGCUGCAUGGUGGGGGUUGGAAAGUUUCGGCGGUUGGGUAUGGACUCGCGGCUUAUCAGCUUGUUCGUGGGGUAGUGGCUUACCAAGGCUUUGACGGGUAGCCGGCCUGAGAGGGUGACCGGCCACAUUGGGACUGAGAUACGGCCCAGACUCCUACGGGAGGCAGCAGUGGGGAAUAUUGCACAAUGGGCGGAAGCCUGAUGCAGCAACGCCGCGUGCGGGAUGACGGCCUUCGGGUUGUAAACCGAUUUCGCCUGUGACGAAGCGUGAGUGACGGUAAUGGGUAAAGAAGCACCGGCUAACUACGUG
rnacentral:rRNA from 1 species